GCCGCCUUGGCUCAGUGGUAGAGCAGCGGUUUUGUAAACCGCAGGUCCCCGGUCCGAAUCCGGGAGGCGGCUCCA
rnacentral:tRNA from 1 species